rnacentral:lncRNA from 1 species
CAUAUUGCAGCAGCAACUAUGAAAGGUACCCUUUUCUCUUCAAAUCCUCUACAGCAUCCUUAAUAAUCUUCUCCAUUGGAAUGAAUUGCAAACCCAAAUCCAUAAGUUUCUUUGAUCCAUCCUUCACUCUCAAUAAUCCUGGUUGGGUAUCUCGUUGCAUCCUUUCAAGCAAAAUCACAUAGUACAUCAUUUACAAGUAUGUUAUGUGUCAAAGUAUCACUAGAAGAAUUAUAUUAACCUUGUAUUUUGAUUAUGAAGACAAUAUACAAACAAGUCUAAAAGAACUAUUCAGAUUAACUAAUCACUUCUUCCUUGCCUGUUCAAGAACUAAUAGGAAAGCUGCACACUAACUACAACAUGUACUAUCUCUUGCAACAAAAGCCUAGUUCAUAAAUAAGCAUAAGAAACAACAACCUAAAGAUUAAUGGCAUACAAGAUAGAUACAUCAGUAAGAGCAUGACUGAAAAGUAAAAACCAACGUUGCAGUGCACAUGAACCAAAUUGUUGUGUUCAAAUAAGAGUAAGAAGUUUCUUCAAUAACACUCAUUCAAGCAAUAUAUCUAAUUCCUGAAUUACCGACCAAACGAUUAUUGCAUUGCAUUGACUAUACAUCUACUAGUGUGUGGCUAACUUACUUAGGCACAUUGUACUCUGGAUAAAGUUCAGCAACUUUGGCAACAAAAUCACCAUAGUGAGAGAUAGAUUCAACACACACAUGCCUACCAACUGCAGAUUUGUUCUCAUACACCAAAAUAUGCGCCAAUGCUACAUCCUUAAAGUGGACUGUUCCCAUAAAAAAGUUCUCAUAUGUAUCAUCACAACCUGCAACACAAAAUACAAAAUAUCACAAAUUCUCAGUAACUCCCCUAAAAAGUUAUAAAUUGGGUAGUUUGAUAUUAGUAUUCGGGUCAACAAUGAUUGUAGAUGGCAAAAUCUAAUGAAAGGAAUACAACAUAAUCAAACAAGCCUGAUACUUUUCAAGAAGUUAUCAAGUUCUAAAUGUCCUACUCAGCUAUACUAUCAACUACGCAGUAGCUGGUUUUGUAAAAUAAGCCUAAUAACUAUGUCACAGCAACUGUUGCGGCAUUUAUUUGCCAUUUUAAAACCUUGACCCCUAAAAUUCCUUUAUUCUUCUUAGUACAUUGCAAAUCCCUUUUCACACAGUUAAAAACCAAGCAAUCUACUUUUCUCUUGUGACUCAAAGAUACUUCAGUAACAAUGCCACUUCUCCAGUUCACAUUCCCAAUAUUCAGGGACACUCCUACUGCAAAAUUAGAAAGAAAUAUUUGCAAAAUCCAAUUGAUUAACCAGCAGUUUGUACCUUGAAGAAGGCGCACGAACAUGACCAUGCUUCCAUUAAGCCUCGGUGCAAUAACCGGACCCACCACAUUGCCAGGAUUCACUACUACAACAUCCAACCCAGUCUCCUUUGCAAAAUCCCAAGCUGCUUUCUCGGCCAAAGUCUUGGACAAUGGAUACCACAACUGUUGCACACACAAACACUUCACACACACAUAUAAGAAAAAGAAACAGAAACUGAAAAAAAAUGAAAACCCUUUCUAACCCCAUUUUGCUUGCAAAAUUCAACGUCAGUCCAGCAGUUCUCCGUCUUUGGAACAUCACCGGGCCAAUUGGGGCUCGGAGUAAUCGCGGAGACAGAGGACGUGACCACCACGCGACGAACUCCAGCUUCUUUCGCUGCCGUCAGCACGUUCAUGGUGCCCUUUAUCGCAGGGUCCAAAAGCUCCUUCUGCAUUAAGACCCAAAUGGGGUCAUGCAAAAACCCAAAAGAUUGAAAAUUUUCGAGGAGCUCGGGGGAACAAGACCUGGGGGUCCUGGACUUGUUCAACAGUGCAGGGAGAGGCGACAUGGAAUACGCCGGCGCAGCCGCACACGGCGGCGAGGACGGAGUCGUAGUGGAGGAGCUCCAUCUGGAAGAGGCGGAGGCGCUCCGACGCUCCAUCCAAGGCUUCUAGAUGCUUCGUCUCGCCCUCAUCGUCUGUUAGAAAAAGUUGUGUUGUGCUGUGUAAGUAUUGAGAUCAAAUGAAUGAAUAAUGAGAGUGUGGAUUGUAUUAACUGAGAUUUUGGACGGUGGCGUGAACGGUGUAGCCGCGGUCCAGAAGGAGGUGGACGAGCCAUGAACCGAUGGCGCCGCUGCCGCCGGUGACACACACCACCUUCUCCAUUUGGCAACUGUAUUCUAUCAACCUCCAGUUUUGUACUGUUCCAGUGUAAUCUGCUGAGGCAAAAAAUAAUUAUAAUUUGAAGUCAUAUCUGUACAAAAAAAUAUAUAUGAGUGGUGCAUAAUGAAUCUCAACACUCACAAAAAUCUCAUUAAAUUUUAUUAUUAUUAUAUUAUCAUCUUACAUGCACCAUAUCAGCAAAACCACAAAUUGCAUCACAUUUUGCAACAGAUGCAGGAAUUGAACCAGAAAUCAGAUGAUAGCAUAUACAAUGUUGUGAUGAAAAUUGGCAUGCUUAUUAUUAUUCAUUAAGCAAUAAUAUAUUAUAGAAGUAUUUUAAUCACUGGAUAUUGUUCUACUAGAUGUAAGAAACAGGUCAGUGACUUCUGUUGUUGAAAAAGUAGUAUAAUAGUUAUAAUAUAAUGUGAUUAAAAACCAUUUUUAUUGUUUUAAUAUACUGCUAAUACUACUAUAAUUAAUGUUAUAUUAAACGUUCAUAAUAUUAUUGUUACAACGUAAACCCACCCUUUAAUUGCAAUUUGUACUAUAUUAAAAUAUGAUGUCAACAUAUAUGUUAUUAUAUUAUUAAUGUUAUUAUCCUUUGGAUUUUUGUGUAUGUUUUUAUUUGGAUUUUCGUUUAUUCAAAAUUUUCAAGUAAAACAUUUAUUCAUUUGAGUGGAUUUUUUUAAAGGACUCAACUACGACCUGCUUCACGUGACAGAUGUUACACCUUAAGUACAUUACACCUUUAGCUCUCACAGUAUUCAAUUAACGCUUGAUUUAGCUUUCUGCAGUGUCUUUAUUCCUUAUCUUUCCUUUUGUCAUCAUUUUUAAUGUGCUUCUCUUACACUCUACUUCAUAAAGUUUAUAACCUACAACUUGCUUAAGCAACUUUCUUCUUACAUGGUUGUGCUCACACUUUACCUCAUUUGUCCUUCAUCGCAUCAGAAGUUCAGAUUGUUCACUUAUUUUUGUAAGACGUUAUUCAAAUUUUUGUUUCAAACUCUUGCAAUUUAAAUCGAUUGUUUUAUCCAAUGUUUUUUUUUUAUGGUUGUCUGUCCUUUUCAUAUCUUAUUUUCAACAAAAUGGCUUAUGAAGAACUUCUCCAUAUGUUGUUUGUUUUCACUUAUGGUUAUUGUUCUUUGUCUGCAUUCUAAUUUUUAAGUUUAAUUUUUAGUUAUCUUUAUAUUGGCAUUUCGGAUUAAAUGCAUCUUCAAUUAUUUUUGUAUGAUUUUUUUCCAUUGCUUACUUACUCUGUUUUCUAUUAAAAUUAAAACUUAUUACUUCUUUCAUGGUGGAUUUCAAGCUUUUGUGCUAAAGAAAUGACCUUUACAACUACAACAUCAGCUGUUUUCUAAAUACUUUUUGUUCUCGUUGUUUUUUUAAAAAAAUAUAAUACUAUUUAGGCAUGUAUUGUGCUCCGCUAGAUUUUAUUUAUGUGUUGUCUCAUAAAAGUCUUUCAUUUCACAGUAAAAUGUAUAGUGCAACUUAAAGAGAAAACCACUAUUUCGUUAUGUGUUCUUUUUCAUUAUAUUUUUCUCAAUUUUAUUCUAGUUGUUUUGUUUAACCUAUAUAUGCUUAUGUUGUUUUUAUGUUUUUCUUUUUUUUGUCAUAAGAUUUUGUAUUUAUGAACCUCUUAUUCAGAUUGUGUAACAUUUGAAUCUGGUUUGUUGCACACACUAACAUUGGCAGCUAAAACAAAGUUUUAUUGUUAGUUUAUAUUUACGAAUGUAUGUGUUCUUCUAUUUAUUUAUGUCCUUUCUUAUUUGACCUAUGUCUUUGACUAAUUGAUCAACACACCAAAUCUUCGCAACUACAAAAAUCUUUUAGUAUGCAAGAAUACAAUGUUGUUCCUUCUUCUUCACAAGUUUUAACAAAUUUGGUUUGCUUAUUUUGUUUUUAUGUAUUUUUGCUUUUUUUUUUAUAUGAUUAUGUAAUUAUGAACCUCUUAUGUUGUUGGAUGUCCAGAUUGUGUAACAUUUUAAUCUAAUUUGUUGCACACAAUUAGAUUGGCAGCUAAAGCAAAAUUUUAAUGUUAGUUUAUAUUUACGGAUUUCUGUGUUAUUCUAUUUAUUUAUGUCCUGUUUAUUUAACCUCUGGCUUUGAAGGAUUCAUCAACACACCAAAUAUUGGCAACUCCGUCAAGGAGAUACAUCCUAGAUUUUUUUUUUCUUCUUGUUUUCCAUGCUUGUAAUGCCCAACAUGAGUAUCUAAUUCUACCCUUUGAGAUUUGAGAUUUUCUCUUUAGUUGUUCCUCUACUCUAACACAAAGUUGAACUAAAUCAUUUAAAUCAUUAUAAGGAAAAAGUUCAACUUUAUCCUUAAUUUCAUAAUUAAGACCACUUUGGAAUCGAGCCCUAAUCCGUGCCCUUAACAUAAAUAACUCAAUUAUCUGCUUCUAUUGUUCUACAAUCAUGUUUAUAUGCGUUAACUUAUUGAGUUGUUUCAUCAACUCUCUAUCAUAUUAGGAAGGCUCAUACCUCUUCCUAAGAGCUGAUCUAAACUCAUUCCAAUACCUUAUUUAGGGAAAAUUAUGCAACCUAAGAUCUUUUGUAUAGGUGGUCCACCAAGUCAUGGUUGAAUCUUGAAAACUAAGGGUAGCUAAGGUAUCCCUCCUCUCAUGAUUUAUUUGGUGAGCCGAAAAAAAUUUCAACCUUCAUCUCCAAGGUUACGUAAUCUUCUAUAUUUGAUGAAAAAUGAAAAUAAGGAAGGUCAAUCUUAGGCUCUUUAGGCACAUGAUGGGCUCGAUGUCUAUGUUGUCUAGCAUUUUAUUGGUAGUAGUAUGUAUUGUGAUACCUACUAUAAUCAUAUUGGCUUUGGUAAGGGAUUGUAUGAUGAUUGCUUAUAUGUUUGUGAGAUCCCUCUCUUAGGAAAUCACAAAUUUAGAAAUUAUUUCUUUCAAUUCUGAAAAAUUCAUUUGCUUGUUUUGUUACUCUUUCAUAGACAUUAAAAGAAUCUUGAGUGUUUUGAUUACCAUGAACACUAGAUUGAUGUGAAGGAUCACCCAUUGUUGAAUUAAAAUAGAAAAAGUUUUCACAAAAAUUUACAAUUCAAUUGAGUGAUCAAAAUAUUUUUUGAAAAUAUUUUUUUAAUUUUUGGUGAAGUAAAUAGAUCAAGUAUGAGAGUUCUCCAAGUUCACUCCCACGAAAAGUGAGGUGAGUCACAAUGGACUACUUACAUACCAAGAGCUUAUCCCAAAUAAUUCUCAACAUAAGUUCCCUCAAAAUAAUUUUAGAAAUGAGAGUGGGUGUUUGAAUGUCGAAAUGAAACUAAAGAUCAAAGGAAGAUCUACUAAUAAGCAAAAAAAGAUAAAAAUCCUAUGUAUCACAGAUACUUAAAAGCAAGAAAAUAAAGGAAGGAAAUAAAGGAAGGAAAUAAAAGCAUGAAAUUAAAGCAAGAAAUUAAUGCUAGUGAAAAGUAAAUUAGCCGCAUCCUAAAGUUCAAGUGCAAUUGACACUAAGACUCCAGCAGCACACUUACACCACUAAUGCACAUGUAAUCUAAGAAUUUGAAGUAAAAUAAGUACAAAAGAAGAUGGACAACAAUAUAGAUAAAUAGUUAAGUGAAUCUCAAGAGAACAUUACAAAGAACUUACUUGAAAUGGACUUUAUUAAAAAUUUUAAUUUCAAGAAAUAUACUAAGUUAUGUUGGAGAUCCCACAUCGACUAGAGAUAAGGACAUUUCAUAAUAUAUAAAUGGGUGCAGACCUCAAUCUUAUGAGCCGGUUUUAUGGGGUUGAGUUAGCCUUAAAGUCCACUUCGCAAUAAGUUACUUUUAUACAUAUAGCUUAAUGAACAUAUCAAGGCAUAAGUAAGUAUAUUUGAUUAUUGUUAUAUAACAAAUUCAUUUGUAAUUCACAUUCCUAAAAGUAUUUACAAAAGAUUCGAAGUAAAGCAUGUCCUUAUCUCAAGAUGCACUACUUGUAAACAAAUAACCCAUCAUAUUCUACAUAUUCCUUUGACAAACUUGAUUACCCGAACUAGAAGUUGCUCAGUUGGAGAUCUCACAUCGACUAGGGAUUAGAGCCUUUUAUUGUAUAUAAAUGGAUGCAAACCUCAACCCUGUGAGCCGGUUUUAUGGGGUUGAGUUAGGCUUAAAGUCACAUCUCUAUCUUAGUGGAAAGUAUUGAAUAGAGUAUAAAUCAUAUACAUCUGUGUUAAAAUGAGUAUACAUCUAUAUUAAAAUGAGUGAUGUCAUUCAUACAUCUAAAGAAAUCAAUGUACAUUCUCAUUUCAUAAUAAAAAGAUAUGAAUGACAAUUACAACACAAAGACCCUACCUACCACGAGUUGGUCAUACUCUAAUCUACGCCCAUAAACUAUUUCCCGUGAGUUCUAGGCAUGGAGGCUUCUCAAUGUUUCAAGCUAUAAACAAAGACUGAGAAUUGUACACUCAAUCAUACAAUAAUAUAAAUAAAAACACAGGAAAAAUCAAUAUCCUCGCAUACAAUAACAUAAUCAAGAGGACAAAUUAUAAUAUACAUCAAAAAAUUAAUUUGGUGAAUUUAAAGACUCAACCAUACAUUCAAUCAAAUCAAAAUGUAUUUCACAAGUAUUAUUAUAGGAUAUGACAACCCAAACUAACAUCGUUUUCCUCCCUCAUCCAACGUCUACUUUCAUGACUUACUACUUAAAAGUACACCUUCAUUGAGAUUAUUUAAAAAAAAAACUUAAAUUGUUAUAUGAAGGUGCAUGGGGAAAAUAGAGAGUGGAGGAGAAUUUGCCAAACUAAUGCCCUUUUCUCUUUCCUUUUUUGUACGUAUGCAACACUUUAUAUUCUAAUUUUCAUGCACAUUUCAAUUCUUCACAAAUGACCUACAAACAAAUAGUGGUCCAUAUGCAUAAAACAAAAUGUAACUAGGGUUUCCAUUCGCAUGUAAACACCCCACGUUUUUCUUACUGUACCCAUAUAAAUUAUCCUUAUUAAUUUAUAAUAUUAUUAAUAAAUUGAAUUUUGAAAAAAUGAUUUUUCUCAUGAUUUAAAACUAAUUUGUUUAACAAUUUGAUACAUACAUUAUAUUAUAGUUAAUGAAAAUAAUAAUUAAUAACUAAAAUCUUAAUAACUAAUUAGAUACAAUUUAAAAAUUAUUUUAUAAUUUUUAUUAAUAAUAAAAACUAUUUAAAUACUAAUACUCAUUCAAUUAUAUCAAUUUCCUUCCAAAUCCUCCUCAUACAUAUAGUAAAGAAAUUGUUUUUCGUUUUCCAUGUUCUUUACACGUUUUCUAUUAAUUUCUUUGUGGACAAUAAGUUUAAGCAUUCCAUCUUCAUUUUGAAAAAAGAAACAAACAGGUGAGAGCUACUCAUACGCAAGUUCCUUUUUCAUACUAUUAGAGAAGUGUAGAUUAUGUCAUAGAAGAGCGUCUAAAGGUAACAGAGAUACAAAAAUGUGAAGACAACACAGAAACAUGACAGAAAUAGAGAUCCACCCAUGAACUAAAAUUAGGUAGAAAAUGUUUUACAAAGAUGUCUCUCGUCACUUGUUUUAGAACAAUGCAAACAUAACAACAACCACACCAACAAAUAUAACAGAUUAACAACAACAGGAAUUUGCACCAAACAUAUGUGCCAUAAGGACUCAUAUUGCAGCAGCAAUUAUGGAAGGAAUCCUUUUUUCUUCAAAUCCUCUACAGAAUCCUUAAUAAUCUCCUCAAUUGGAGUGAUUUGCAAACCCAAAUCCAUAAGUUUCUUUGAUCCAUCCUUCACUCUCAAUAAUCCUGGUUGGGUAUCUCGUUGCAUCCUUUCAAGCAAAAUCACAAAAUACAUCAUUCGCAACUAAGUUAUGCAUUAACAAUAGAUGUAUGAAGUGUGUGGGUAACUUACUUAGGCACAUUGUACUCUGGAUAAAGUUCACCAACUUUGGCCGCAAAAUCACCAAAGUGAGAGAUAGAUUCAACACACACAUGCCUACCAACUGCAGAUUUGUUCUCAUACACCAAAAUAUGUGCCAAUGUUACAUCCUUCAAGUGGACCGAUCCCAUAUAAAUGUCCUCGUAUGUUUCAUCAGAACCUGCGACGCGACAUACAAAUUUGUCUCAAAUUAUCAGUAAUUCCCCUAAAAAAAUCAUAACUUGGGGAGUUUGAUAUUAGUAUUCGAGUCAACAAUUAUACUGUGCAAAAUCUAAUGAAAAGAGUAUAGCACAAUCAAACAAGUCUAAUACUUUUCACGAAGGCAUCAAGUUCUAAAUAUCCUACACAGCUACACCAUCAACUACACUGUCGCAGGUCUUAGAAAACAUAUAAAAUAAUAAUAAAAUAAAAAUAUGAAUAAUAAAUUAAUAACAUAAUAAUAAUUAAAUAAUUAAAAUAAUAAUAAAUAAUAAACAAUAAUAAUGUUGGAGAUCUCACAUCGACUAAAGAUUAGAGUCUUUCAUUGUAUAUAAGUGGGUGCAAACCUUAAAUUUAUGAACUUGUGAGUCAUUUCAUUGUAUAUAAAUAAAUGAAAACCGAUUUUAUGGAGUUGACUUAGACUUAAAGUUUAUUUUGUAAUAAAUAAUAAAAAUAACUGAUAGUAAAAAUAUUAAAAUUAAAAUUAUAAACUAAUUAUAAUAUUAUAUUUUUUAUUUAAUUAAAUUAGUUUAUAAUAAUAUAAAUUAAUUAAUUAUUAUAUAUAUUAUUUUUAAAUUUUUUAAAAUUUAUUAUAUUUAUCAAAUUAGUAAUAAACUUAAUUCAAAAAACUUCAUUUUACUCAACUCCUCAAAUUCCCAGUAUCAAAUUUACUCUCCAUUUGAAAAAAACCCAACUUGAUACAAUGAGUUUAAAAAUAACUAUCUAAAAUAAAGAAUAAAUUUAUACUUAUAUAAUAUAAAAAAUAUAUAUUAAAAUAAUAAUAUUGAAAAUUGUAUAAAAAUACUGCAUUGUAUGAUUAUAUGAUUAACCCAAAAGAUAAAGCAUUCUCAAGCUUUUUGGGUAGUAGAAGAUUUCUUGAUACCAUAUUAUAAUAAUAUAAUAAUAUUUUAAAUUAAAAAUAAAUUAAAUAUAAUUAAAAUAUUAUUUUAAGGAUUUGUCAAGUGGAUUUUUUUAUUAUUGUAUGACCACCCAUUUUAGAACUUUUCCAGUUCACAUUUCCAAUAUUGAAGGAAACUCCUGCUGCAAAAAUAGAAAGAAAUAUUUGGAAAAUCCAACUGAUUAAGCAUUAGUGUCUCUACCUUGAAGAAGGCGCAAGAGCAUGAGCAUGCUUGCAUUAAGCCUGGGUGAAAUAAUCGGACCCAUCACAGUGCCAGGAUUCACUACAACAACAUCCAACCCACUCUCCUUUGCAAAUUCCCAAGCUGCUUUCUCCGCCAAAGUCUUCGACAAUGGAUACCACAACUGUUGCACACACAAACACUUCACACACCAACACAUAUAAGAAAAAGAAACAGAAAAUGAAAAAAAUGAAACCCUUUCUAACCCCUUUUUGCUUGCAAAAUUCAACGUCAGCCCAGCAGUCCUCCCUCUUUGGAACAUCACCGGGCCAACUGGGGCUCGGAAUAAUCGCCGAGACGGAGGACGUGACCACCACGCGACGCACUCCUGCUUCUUUCGCUGCCGUUAAUACGUUCACGGUACCCUUUAUCGCCGGGUCCAGAAGAUCCUUCUGCAUGAAGACUCAAAUGGGAUGAUGAAAAAACCCAAAAGAUUGAAAAUUUGUGAAGAGAUCGAGGAAACAAGACCUGGGGAUCCGAGACUUGAUCAACAAUGCAGGGAGAGGCGAGGUGGAAAACGCCGGCGCAGCCGCGCAUGGCAGCGAGUACGGAGUCAUAGUGGAGGAGCUCCAUCUGAAAGAGGCGGAGGCGCUCCGACGCUCCAUCCAAGUCUUGUAGAUGCUUUGUCUCGGCCUCAUCGUCUGUUAGAAAAGUUGUGUUGUGCUGUGUAAGUAUAUAUUGGGAUGAAACGAAUGAAUAAUAAAAGUUUGGAAUGUGCUAACUGAGAUUUUGGACGGUGGCGUGAACGGUGUAGCCGCGGUCCAGAAGGAGGUGCACGAGCCAUGAACCGAUGCCGCCGCUGCCGCCGGUGACACACACCACCUUCUCCAUUUUGCAGCUGUAUUCUAAGAUGCACUACUUGAAGAACUCCACUGUACUAAGAUAAUGAUGACACGUGUAAGAGAGGAAGAAACAAAGAAAACGAAAGACAGCCACAGAAAGAACAGAGAAAAAAUGAAAACGACGUUCAGAUAAAAGGCAAAAAAUGACCGAAGCAAACAGUUCCAAACAGCAAAAUAUUAGGUUUUAUUUUUUAGUGACUAAAUUAAUAUUGAAUUAUAAAUUUUUAAAGAAUACUUGUAUAAUGUAAUUGUCAUAUUUCUCUAUUAUGUAGAAUUGUAGUGAAAUGGAGGUUAAAUAAUGGUGCCCAACUUGCUAGCUGAAGGUUUUAAAAGGCAAGGAAAAAAUGAUAGCAAAUUAACCGUCAUGUACAAAAAAAGUGGUGGUCCCACAAUCACAAAAAUAGCAUAUAAAUUAAAUAAAAGAACUGACACGUAGAGUUUAGUGUAAUUUGAUGAUUUAUUUAUAAAUUAUUAUUUAUGGUUAUUUUACUGAUUUUUGUAAUAAGUAUUUGAUAUAGUUUAGGAGAGGAUAUGGUAUGCUUUAAUAAGAGGAUUUGAGCACACUUAAGCUUAAAUGAGUGUAUAUAAGCAACAAAAGAAAGAAAAAUAAAUCUAUACAAUUGUUGGAUCAUUCCAAGACUCAAUCAUAGAGGAACACAAACUCAUAGUAGAUAAUUUUUUCUUUUCAUUAAUUUAAUUUCCAACUCAUUGAGAUAAUUAUAAAAGCGUUUCUAUCCAUAACAUUAUGACAAAAUGUAGAGUACACCUUAUUUUCUUAAUAUAUAUAAUUUGACUUUUAUUAACCAAGUGGGCUUCUUCAAUGCCUAAAUCAUUUUAAUAUUUGGCUCCAUUAUUGUGUACCUGUUUCUCAUUUUCUGGUUCUUAUCUCAGACCAACUAAAGCCCACCACGUAUCGUUUCCCAAUUUUUACUUUAUGCAUAUGGACCCGCUUUUUGUUUGUUGCUAUUUUACUUUAUUCCUUUUCAUUUUAUUUUUAAUUCAAAAUAUUAUUAUAUUAUUAUAAGUGUUUGUUAAGUGUAUCUUAUUUACUGUUUUUUAUUGUUUAUGGUUUUAAAGAAACUUUUCUCUUUUGUCAUACAUUCACAUGGGGAGUGCUCAUUUGUUUGCAUGAAAAUUGAAAUACUAAGAGUUGCAGAUGUACAAGAAAGAAAGAGUAGCUCUAAACAAAGAAUAACUUUAUUUUUUAAAAUAAUUUCAGUAACAUUCUUAUAACUUUCUUUUAUUUACAGUACUUUCAUUCUUAUGUCGUAAAAUUAGAAAAAGUAGUUUUUUAUCAAUCAAUAUCGAACGGGUGAGUCAUUUAGUUUCGGAAAUCGAUCAACUGCGUUAAAAUACAUUUAAUACACUCAAUAAAUGACUAUUGUUACAAUUAUGAAAACUUCCGACAAAUCAAAGUCAUAUUCCAUCGAAUUUGGGUGACACCCCCAAGAAAAUAGCUAAUAUUGAUUUAUUGAAGAUAUUCUCCAAAUAUACAUCUCUAUAAUUCAAGGAAUCCCCUAAAAAGCCACUUAACACUGAUAUUUGAUAAAUGCGGUUCAUCACACAAAAUGACUCAUGACUAAACAUUAUAAAUAAAUAUUUUACAAAAGAGGAAUGUAUGUUUUUUAUCAGUUUCACUAUACACUCUUAACACAAGGUACUCACUUGAUCGUCGAAAAAUCUUUUGCAAGUUAACUCCUAAUCGACUAUUGAGAAAUUGAGGAUAGGGAGUCUUGAAGUUUGAAGGAGUGAAGUACUAAGGAGCAAGGGAGGGACCGACAACCAAAACAAUUGUUACAGUCAAUCCCAUGUACUAUUUAUGCUCACUUUGUCAAUACAAGUACAAGUUCCAUCAUUUCAACGUGUGUAAGAGGCUUGACGAGAAGAUUUGUUGUAUUCGACAUUCCCCAAUGCGAAGAUAAUUUUUUUUUUUUAGUUUUAUACUUCAUUUUUGCACAUCAUUUUUUUAUGAAUUUUGUGGCUUCCAAAAAAAGAAAAAAAAUAAAUGAAUAAAAACACAGUCACCAUGAGCAAUCACCAUCACUUGAAAAUGAAGAAGACACAACACUCUCCAUCAAAUAUUGUUGGAAUUAAAAAAGAGUAUGGAAGUGGAGAAUGAAGGUACGGAGAUGCAAGGAGAAUUUGCCAUCAAUUUUGUGCAUAUGGGAUUACUUUUUGCAUCACAUUUUGGUAUCACCCUUCCUUCAUAGGUGUUUCUUUCUGCACCUCUACAUUUUUCUUCUUGCACCUCUACAUUUUUCUUCUUGCACCCCUACAUUCAUGUGUAAUUACAAAGUAUCUCUAAGACAUCUAAAAAAACCCAAAAGGAGCAUAUCUCACUCUUUCUUUCUUCCUUUUCUACAAUUGUUGUGCACCUUGUUCAAGGAGCGAACAAAGGACAAUAAGUGGUAAUGCAUUGGGAUGUUGUUGGUGGUUCAUUUUCUGAAAUCUUGAUGGUGGUUAGAUGAUUUCUAAGAUGACUCUGUAUUAAGAAAAGAAGAUAAGUAAUAUUAUUUUUUGUUUACACUGUAUUGAGAAAAGAAGAUAAGUAAUAUUAUUUUUUGGUUACAUAUUGGAUGUUUAAUUUUUUAACUAAUUUUGAAUUCCGUAAUGCAACUUUUAGGAUUUCAGAGACAAGUGAGUCCGUAAUAGAGCACAUUGAUCCAAGAAUUAACUAGAUUGGUGUAUUUGUGUGGUUAUUUACACUUUAUAAACAUGGUUGUAAUUCCUAGCUGUAAUGGCAAAUAGAAAACUCUUGUAGCAGCCAAAUGGAUCCAGACUUUUUUUGUAAAAAACGUGGUGCCCCACUUGCAGCAAACAGAAAAUAACGAGUAAAUAAAAAAAUAGGGUUUGCAGGAAAUAUAGAAAACAAUGAGGAAAGAAAAGAAUGGCAUGUGAAGGCACUGUAAGGAAGGGUGAUGCCACAUCGUGAUCAGAAUGAGUGGUUGUGAUGGAUGAAUGAAUAAUUAAGAUUCCUUCACAUUCUAAACAGUAUCUCACUUUCAUUCUCUAACCAUUUAUAGUAAUAUCCCCACGUAUUCUUUCUUCUUUUAUAACAAAAACAAAAACAACCACCCCUUUUCUCUUUUCUUUUUUAAUUUACUACUUUUAAUAUUAUUAUUUUAAUAUUUUUUUAUAUCAUUUAAUUAUAAAUCAUUCUUUUAUUCUGCUCUCCAUGUGAAUGUUUGAAGAGUAAAUCAUCUAGGUGUCAAAAAGAACAUUGACAUAUUGGUUUAUAAUUAAAAAUUCUUGAUUCUACAUAUUUUUAACUUUGAGUAGGAAGUUGAUGUUAUAUUAUUAUGUUUAUAUUUAUUAGUUCAAAUUUAAUUGAAUUGAAUAACUGAUUUUUUUCUUUAAUUUAUAAUAGAAUUAAACAAUUAUUAAAAUAAUUCAUAUUUAUUAAAACUAACCACACCAACAAAAGUUUAACGAUACAUAUGAUAGUGCCUCAUUUUAGAACUAAGAGGAAUUUGCAGCAAACAUGUGGCUUUUAGGACUCGUAUUGCAGCAGCAAUUAUGCAAGGAAUCCUUUUUUCUUCAAAUCUUCUACAGCAUCCUUAAUAAUCUCUUCAAUUGGAGUGAAUUGCAAACCCAAAUCCAUAAGUUUCGUUGAUGCAUCCUUCACUCUCAGUAAUCCUGGUUGGGUAUCUCGUUGCAUCCUUUCAAGCAAAAUCACAAACUACAUCAUUUACAAGUACGUUAUGCAUUAACAAUACAUGUAUGAAGUGUGUGGGUAACUUACUUAGGCACAUUGUACUCUGGAUAAAGUUCACCAACUUGGGCUGCAAAAUCACCAAAGUGAGAGAUAGCUUCAGCACACAGAUGCCUACCAACUGCAGAUUUGUUCUCAUACACCAAGAUAUGUGCCAAUGCUACAUCCUUAAAGUGGACCGAUCCCAUAAAAAUGUUCUCAUAUGUUUCAUCAGAACCUGCCACGCCACAUACAAAAGGUCACAAAUUCUCAGUAAUUCCCCUAAAACAUCAUAAAUUGGGUAGUUUCAUGUUAAUAUUCCGGUCAACGAUUAUAGAUUAUAUGGUAAAAAAUUUAAUAAAAAAAAAGUGUAGUGAUUUUCACGAAUUAUAAAUGUCCUACGCAUCUAUACCAUCGACCAAGUUGUAGCAGGUCUUGUGAAAUUAGUCUAAUAGUUAGGUAACAACAACAGUAGCCCUAUUCACAUUAUACCAUUUUAAUCAGUUAAAAAUGUAUGCAUCAUUCAUCACAAGAUCCCUAACAUGGUGUUAAAUAGUGGUAUGCGACUAUGACUUUAGUGGUUCCGUCCACAGAUUUGGACGGAUGAAUACAAACAGAAAGCAUGAAAAUCAAAAGUAAAAAAUUGUUAGAUUCUUUCCUCGCAUAGCUGUGAGGAGUAGCAAAGAAAGUUGAAUAAACAUUAUAAUCAUAUAUUUACAAUAAAAUAUAUAUUCUAUAACGGAUCAUUACAUAGUCUGAUGACAUAUAUUUAUCAAAUAAUCCAUUUUUUUAAUAAUAUAAUUGAUUAUGGAAUAUACAUGUUAUUAUAUUUUUAUAUAAUUAUUAUAUUAUAUAUAUACACUAAAAAAAAUAUAAAUAUAGUAAAAAAAAUAAUUAGUUGUUAUAAUAACUAAAUUAGAAAUUAUUUUAAAAACUAAAAAAAAUAAUUUUUAAAUUAGUUUAUAUUAUUAUUAAAUAGUUUUGUAAUUUGUAUUUAAUUAGCUACCAAGGUUUUAACUCCCAAUUAUUUAAUUUCUAAAUUUGGUCGUAAAAAUUUUGGUUGCUAAUUAAAUACUAAUUUAAAAAUUAUUUAAUGAUAAUACAAACUAAUUUAGAAACUAAAGUUUUUUUUUCUCUAAAAUGAUUUAUAAUUUAGUUACUAUAUCAACUAAAUAUUUUUUAUUCUCUAAACAUAGUUUUCUAUUUGAUGUUUUUUUUUAGUGAUAUUAUUAAUUGAUUAAUAUUUGUAUUUUUAUUCUAAACAUAAUUAAUUAUACAAUAUAAUACAAUGUAAUAAUAAUAAGUAGUCAAACAAUAAAGAAAUAUAAAAUAAUAAUAAUAAAAUAGUCUCUACCUUGAAGAAGGUGCAAAAGCAUGAGCAUGCUUGCAUUAAGCCUCGGUGCAAUAACCGGACCCAACACCAUCCCAGGAUUCACUACAACAACAUCCCACUCACUCUCCUUUGCCAAAUCCCACGCUGCUUUCUCGGCCAAUGUCUUCGACAAUGGAUACCACAACUGUUGCACACACAAACACUUCACACCCCAACACAUAACAAAAACAAACACAAAAUUCAAAAAAUGAAAACCCUUUCUAACCGCUUUUUCCUUGCAAAAUUCAACGUCAGUCCAGCACUCCUCCUUCUUUGGAACAUCACCGGGCCAAUUGGGGCUCGGAACAAUCGCGGUGAUGGAGGACGUCACCACCACGCGACGCACUCCAGCUUCUUUCGCUGCCGUUAGCACGUUCACGGUGCCCUUUACCGCCGGGUCCAGAAGAUCCUUCUGCAUGAAGACCCAAAUGGGAUGAUGCAAAAACCCUAAAGAUUGAAAAUUUGCAAGAAGAUCGAGAGAACAAAACCUGGGGGUCCUGGACUUCAUCAACAAUGCAGGGAGAGGCGAUGUGGAAUACGCCGGCGCAGCCGCGCAUGGCUUCGAGUACGGAGUCGUAGUGGAGGAGCUCCAUCUGGAAGAGGCGGAGGCGCUCCGACGCUCCAUCCAAGGCUUUUAGAUGCUUUGUCUCGGCCUCAUCGUCUGUUAGAAAAGUUGUGUUGUGCUGUGUAAGUAUAUAUUGGGAUGAAACGAAUGAAUAAUGAGAGUGUGGAAUGUACUAACUGAGAUUUCGGACGGUGGCGUGAACGGUGUAGCCGCGGUCCAGAAGGAGGUGGACGAGCCAGGAAGCGAUGGCGCCGCUGCCGCCGGUGACACACACCACCUUCUCCAUUUUGCAACUUAAUUCUAACACGAAAACGAUCACUAGAGACUUGAGAAGUCCACUUUGAAAUCAAGAGAAGAAGAAAGAAACAAGUGUAAUGAUGUGACGAACAUACACAUUUUUAUAGAAUAAUAUCACUUCAAUACUAUUAUUUUAAACAUCUAUACAUCCGUAUUUUAUUAUUUUAUUCAAUUUUUAUGUUAAAUUUCAUAAAAAAUUAACAUUAAAUAUAUAAAAAAUAUUACUUAAAAAAUAUUUAUUUUCUUUUUCAAUUUGAGUUUUUUUUUUUUUGAAGUUUUUACUCUUCUUCCAUUGAUAGUUUUGGAAUGAGAGAGUAUAAUGAUGAUAAUGAUUUUAUAAAAAAAUAUAAUUGUUUCUAAUGAGGAAUUGAAAAUAAAUGUUAUUUUAUUUGUUAAAUUUUAUGUAAAAACUUGAUCGUAUGUUUUAUUUUUUUCUUUUGUCUUAAAAUUAAGAAAAGAGUAGGAGAUGUGCAUAUGCAAUAAUAUUAAAAUAAAAAAUAGUUUUAAUUUUUAAUUAAUUUAUAUAAAAUAAUAAAAUAUUUAAUUAUAUUAAUAAAAUGAGAUAUAUUAAAUAAAGAUAAAAUAAAUUAUACACUAAAAAUCGAUUAUAAUAAAAAAAUUAUAUAUAGAUAUAAAUAUUUUUUUAUAUUAUUUAAUUUCAAAGUUAGUCUUUAUUAUAUAUAUUUAAUUGUCAAACUGUAUUAAAAAAAAAAGACAGGGACAGUAGAAUUAAUUUGACAGAAAACGAAAGACAUGGAAAAUUUGACAACAAAAAUAUCGAAAUCAGCAAUGCAGAAUUAAUUAUAGGAAAGUUGGUGAGUACGAAAACCAAUCCAAUUUUUUAAAGGAUCCGGAUUUUUGACAACGUACGCAUCGUAUAACUCUGAAAAAAUCUUAAUAUUUUAAUAGUGUGUGAUCUUCUGUCAUAUUGGAAUCUUUUUCUUAUCUUUUUUGUAGUUUUCAUAUUUUGAGGUUUCUUUCUUUUUUUUAAGCUUCACUAUGUAUUUGCAAAUUUUUCUUUGUGCACUGAAACAUUUAUUUUUUCUUCUGUAUUGUUUUUAUUUGAUCUCGGUUUUAUUUAUUGUUAUCGUUAUUCAUAAUAAUAUUAUUUUUAUUAAUACUAUUAUUAAAAUUAAUAAUAAUACUAAUACUAAUAUUAAUAAUAAUUUAAAUAAUAAAAAUAAUUUUAAUAUUACUACUAAUUAUAAUAAUAUUAUUAUUAUUAGUAAUAAUAUUAGUAUUAGUAGUAAUUAUAAUAAUAAUAAUUAUUAUUAUUAUAAUAAUAUUUUUUAACUAGUGUUAUUUAUUUAUCUUUAUAUUCUUACAAUUCCGAUUUAAUUUAGUCAAAUAUAUUCUUAAAGAAAAAAAAUAUUUAUUGUCAAACAUAAUUUUGAAUUGGAUUUUUUGACAUCAUUGUUAUAAUUUUAUUCAAAAUGAUUUUUUUUAUGUUUAAAUUUCAUAUUGUGAUUAAAUUUAGUAUGAAAGAUUUUAUUUAUUGAAGUACUGAGCAAUUGGACUCGAGUAUGAUUGAGGUUAAUCCGUUGGUCAUUUAAAAAAAUGGUUUAGGAAGUGGUGACCUAGUCUAACGGUUAGAGAGGAUGAUGAAUAAGGUGAAUUGAGUUUGUUUAUAACACAUUAAAUUUAUUAUUCACAUGAAAUUUAUUUUUCACAUGAAAAAUGAAAUCUAUUACUUUAAACAUGAUUGUUAAUAUGGAUAACAAAGACCUACUAACUAAUAAAAUUGUCUUAAAUCAUAAAUUAAAAUUAUUCUACACAACUACAAGUUGGAUUGAUUCGUUAUAAUAAUUGUACACGGAUAACAGUAACAUUAGAGAAAUUCAGCUUGUACGAGACUGUUUUCUCAAUGCCUUGUUUGAGAUUUUAUAUUUUGUUUGACUGUGUGGCUUUGUCGGUAUGGUAGACGUUCCUUGGUAGAAAGAGGAUAAAGUACAAAUUUGUAUAAGGGUUAGACCACUAUGUAGUGGUUCAUAUUUAUUAUUUUUUAUUGAUAAUAAAAAAACAAUUUUAUUAUCAUUUUAUUUUAUUUAUUUUGAUGGAUGUAUUACAAUAGUAUAAUAAAUUAUUAUAGAAUCAUAAUUUUGUAUUAGUUUUUUUUUACGUUCAAGUUAUAUUUAGUAUGUAUUUUUUUAAAAUAAAAUCAUAUUUAUAGAUUUUUGAACUUAUUGAAAUAUCGAAUAAAAUUAUUUGAAAAAUCUAUUAUUGAAUAUUAUAGAUCAUUCCAAGACUCAAUCAUAGAGGAACACAAACUCAUAGUACCAAAGGAUAACUUUUUUUUCAUUAAUUUAAUUUCCAACUCAUUGAGAUAAUUAUAAAAGCAUUUCUAUCCAUAACAUUAUGACAAAAUGUAAAGUACACUUUAUUUUCUUAAUAUAUAUAAUUUGACUUUGAUUAACCAAGUGGGCUUGCUGAUAAAAAAAAAACCAAGUGGGCUUCUUCAAUACCUGCAUCAUUUUAAUAUUUGGUAACAUUGUUUAUGGUUUCCCAAUUUUUACUUUAUGCAUAUGGACCCACUUUUUGUUUGUUGCUAUUUUACUUUAUUCAUUUUCAUUUUAUUUUUAAUUCAAAAUAUUAUUAUAUUAUUAUAAGUGUAUCUUAUUUACUGUUGUUUAUUGUUUAUGGUUUUAAAGUAACUUUUCUCUUUUGUCAUACAUUCACAUGGGGAGCGCUUAUUUGUUUGCAUGAAAAUUGGAAAUAAGGAGUUGAAGACGUACAAGAAAGAAAGAGUAACUCUAAAUAAAAGAAUAACUUCACUUUUUAAAAUAAUUAGUACGUUGAACCGUGGAACGCACGGGAAUUUUUUCAAUAUUUUAUAUGUAAAUAUUAAUAUUAAAAUUAAUAAUUUAAUUUAUUUAUAUAUAAUUUCAGUUAUACUUCCGUAUUUUUAUAUCUUUCUUAUAUAUUUUUAGUUGUAAUAUUUGAAAAAGUAGUUUUUGGAUCGAUCAAUACCAAAUGAGUGAGUUAUUUCACUUUGAAAAUUUAUCAACCACAUUAAAAUACAUUUAAGACACUCAAUAAAUGAGUUGCAACAAUUAUGAAAACUACCUACAAAUCAAAGUCAUAUCCCAUCUCGGUGAUACUCCGGGAAAAUAAUUAAUAUUAAUUUAUUGAAUAUAUUAUCUAAAUAUACAUAUCUAUAAAUCAGGGAAUCUCCUUAAAAAAUCACUUAACACUGAUAUUUGAUAAAUUCGACCCAUAACAAGAAAUGACUCAUGAGUAAACCCUUUACAAAGAAGGAAGAUACGCUUUUGAUCAAUUUCACUAUACACUCUUAACACAAGGUACUUACUUGAUCGUUGAAAAACCUUUUGCAAGUUAACUCCUAAUCGACUAUUGAGAAAUUGAGGAGAAGGAGUCUUGAAGUUUAAAUGAGUGAAGUACUGAGGAGCAAGGGAGGGACCGACAACCAAAACAAUUGUUACAGUCAAUCUCAUGUUAUAUCUAGUCUCACUUUGUCUAUACAAGUACAAGUACCAUAAUUUCAUCGUGUGUAAGAGGCUUGACGAGAAGAUUUGUUGUAUUUGACAUUCUCUAGUGGAAAGACAAUUUUUUUAGUUUUGUACUUCAUUUUUACACAUUGUUUUUUUGUGGUUUCCAAAAAAAAAAAAAACAAAACAAAAACAGAGUCACCACCGAACAAUCAUCAUCACUUGAAAAUGAAGAAGAUACAACACUCUCCAUCAAGUAUUGUUGGAAUUAAAAAAGAGUAUGUAAGUGGAGGAUGAAGAUAUGGAGGUGCAAAGAGAAUUCGCCAUCAAUUUUGUGCAUAUGGGACUACUUUUUUCAUCACAUUUUGGUAUCACCCUUCCUUCAUGGGUGUUUCUUUCUGCACCUUUAUAUUUUUCUUCCUGCACCCCAACAUUCAUGUGCAAUUACAAAAGUAUCUCUAAGACAUCUAAAAAACCCAAAAGGAGCAUAUCUCACUCUUUCUUUCUUCCUUUUCUACAAUUGUUGUAAAAAACGUGGUGGCCCACUUGCAGCAAACAGCAAAUAAUGGGCAAAGAAAACACGAUGACCCCACUUGCAGCAAACAGAAAAUAAUGAGUAAAUAAAAAAAUAGGGUUUGCAGGAAAUAUAGAAAAGAAUGAGGAAAGAAAAGAAUGGCAUGUGAAGGCAUUGUAAGGAAGGGUGAUGCCACAACGUUAUGAGAAUGAGUGGUUGUGAUGGAUGAAUGAAUAAUUAAGAUUCUUUCACAUUCUAAACAGUAUCUCACUUUCAUUCUCUAACCAUUUAUAGUAACAUCCCCACUUAUUCUUUCUUCUUUUAUAACAAAAAACAUAAACAACCACCCCUUUUUUCUUUCCUUUCUUUUAUUUACUACUUUUUUUAUAUCAUUUAAUUAUAAAUCUUUCUUUUGUUCUGAUCCCCAUGUGAAUGUCUGAAGAGGAAAUCAUUUAGGUGUCAAUAAGAACAUUGACAUAUUGGUUUAUAAUUAAAAAUUCUUGAUUUUGCAGACUUUAACUUUGAGUAGAAAGUUGAUAUUAUAUUAUUAUGUUUAUCUAUUUAUUAACUCAAAUUUAUUGAAUUGAAGAACUGAUUUUCUGCUUUGAUUUGUAAUAGAAUUAAACAAUUUUUAAAAUAAUUCAUAUUUAUUUAUUCCUUCAUACUAAUAAUAAAACUAACCACACCAACAAAAGUUUAACAACACAUAUGAUCGUGCCUUAUUUUACAACAACAGGAAUUUGCACCAAACAUAUGUGCCAUAAGGACUCAUAUUGCAGCAGCAAUUAUGGAAGGAAUCCUUUUUUCUUCAAAUCCUCUACAGAAUCCUUAAUAAUCUCCUCAAUUGGAGUGAUUUGCAAACCCAAAUCCAUAAGUUUCUUUGAUCCAUCCUUCACUCUCAAUAAUCCUGGUUGGGUAUCUCGUUGCAUCCUUUCAAGCAAAA